ACAGGUUGGGAACACUUCCCCUAUAGCGAGAUAUUCUCGCUAAAACGCGAUUAUCCCUCUUUAGCGAGAAAUAAACAUUACCAUAAACAGGAGUUUUGGCGUCUUUAUUGAAAAUAAUGGCAAAUCCCGUGCAACGCUGAAUAAGUGCGACACGCACUCAACAUGAUGCGAAUUGUUUCUAUGAAAUUGACAACAUAGUAAUGAAAUUGCAUAUCAAAGUUGCUGCGUAAGAGGGAAGCAGUCUGAAAUCCAAUACACAUCAUUAUUUUUUUCAGUUUCUGGUGGGAUAUGGAUGACAGUUACAAACGGAAGCCAGAGAUUGAUGCAUGGAACACAUGGUUUUCAACUCUGUGGGAUGUCCGUAAUUCAUGAUCUUCGGAGUAUUUGAACAAAAGAACCGAAAUCAGUGAACGUGAUGUGACAGUGUUGUGAACUAUUCCUGUUUUCGCGCUCCUGGCAUUCUGGUGAAGUCAAUGCGUUGAUACUAACCGAGAAGAACUGUUACGUUACCCGCCUUUGUGAUGAACUUUUCGUUAUAUGAACUCUUCUUUGAAGUGAACUUUUGUAUAUUACGUAUACUGGACAUUCAUUCAUCUUUUGUACAAUGUAUACCAUUGUUUUCUAUGGGGGAAGAGGGAUUUAUUUUUUUAUUUCUAUAUCCUAGCUUUUAGUCAAAUGUAUAGUAUAGACCAAAAAAAAAAAAAAAAAAAAAAAAACACCGUACGGUUGCUCCACGGAUCACUGAAUGUGGGCGGAGCUUAUCCAUGGUCAAUGUUAUUUACCUAAAAAUAUAAAGCCACAAUAAAUCAUUAAUAGAAAAUAUUCCAA